CCUACGGGUGGCAGCAGUGGGGAAUAUUGCACAAUGGCGGAAACCCUGAUGCAGCGACGCCGCGUGUGGGAAGACGGUCCUCUGGAUUGUAAACCACUUUCCCCAGGGGCGAAAAUGACGGUACCUGGGCAGGACGCUGCGGCUAACUACGUGCCAGCAGCCGCGGUAAUACGGAGGGAGCGAGGGUUUUCCGGAAUUACUGGGGGUAAAGGGAGCGUAGGCGGUACUGGAAGUUGGCGGUCAAAUCUACCGGCUCAACCCGUAGCCGCACGCAAAACUGCAGGUCUUGAGUGAAGUAGAGGCAGGCGGAAUUCCUAGUGUAGCGGUGAAAUGCGUAGAUAUUAGGAGGAACACCAGUGGCGAAGGCGGCCUGCUGGGCUUUUACUGACGCUGAGGCUCGAAAGUGUGGGGAGCAAACAGGAUUAGAUACCCCAGUAGUC
rnacentral:rRNA from 1 species